AUGAUAAAAAAUAAAUUAGAGCAAAAUCAUAUGUAUGUAUAGCAAAAUAUUGCAUUUCAUUUUAAAUCCCUUUUAGUCAAUUUAGUUUUGUUGAUGACAUGCUACCAUUAAGUUUUUUUCCAGAACUGAUAAGGCCCUGCCAUUUUUACCGGCCUACAUGCAGAUUAGAGUGACGUUAGAGGGGAACACAAAUUGAGAUAUGUUAGAGGGGAACACAAAAAGAGUAUGUUUGUCUUUCAAGUAAUAUCCCAACUUGACCGCUGUCAUAUUCAUCUGUUGCAUGGUCCCUGGUCAGAAAGACUACUUUAGACACUAGAAAGAAAGGCUCAGAAAGGCUACUUUAGACACCGAAGGCAGGAGAAACUAACAGAAGCCAACAAGCCGCCUUCAAUAGUCCAGACCCAGAGAAAAGAUGGACAUUCCCACAGAGAAGAGAGAAUCACAUACCUUCAUGUCCUGACUGGAGUUGGAGAAGUUUGAGAAUGAACUGAACGAGGGCAGUACAGCUUGAGUUGCAGCCAUCCGGUUGGGGCCCCCAAAUUCUCAGGAAACUAGCAGACCUGUGCGCGGCGGGUGAUUAUGGGCUGGCUGGUGUUUAUCGGCGCGGGUGAGCUGAUGUGGGGCUGCUGUCCGAGGGCAGAUAAUGGCGCGCUGCUCCUGACGCAGCCAGAUCACGGGCCUCAUCACAGAUAAAGAGCCUCUCAGCUGCUCCUGCAGCACCAACGCCACCAACACAAGACAGCGGGCCAGAGAUCAGCGCUCACCGUUUACGUUAGUGCAGCAGGUGGCAGUCUCCGCUGGGACGGGUCCAGCUCUGAUACAAUAGACCUGCUCCAGAUGUGAACUGCAGCAGGCCAAGCCAAGUCUGAUCAUGUCGUGUAAAUAGUCUCCGUGGCUGAAAGACCAUAUGUCCGGAGUUCAGCAUGAGUGCCCUCUCCUCUUCAGUAGCUGACAUGCAGUCACUUCCUGUGCCUUUUAAUUCCACAUAUGGAGGCUUAGAACCACUAGGGCCUCACACCAACUGGUGGUUUACUGGUGGAAGAUGGUACUUUAUCAACAUCACAUUCUCAUGAUACUCCUACUGAUAAGCUGCUCUCACCUAUUAGGUGUAGCCCUGGAGUCUGACCCCAAACCGACCAGCGGGCCUCUGGUCCCCUCUCUCGUCCAGCUGCCUUCUGUCGGGGACAGCCUUGUGUUCCUGUGUACUGCUCCGGGGGACCAUCGGGCGCUGCACUUUGACCUCUACGGAAGCAAACGUCUGUGUAACACAGUCAAGCACCAAACUGAAGAGUGUGGUGCCAUUUUUACUGUGAAUCGCAAAGAAGUGACCAGUGGAAAGGAUUUCUGCUGCCUUUUCAAAGACUCUCAGAACAAACCCAGCGCGUUCAGCUCUUAUGUGUACGCCAAAUUAGAUGAGAAGGUCAGCCCUCUCCCCCCGCCUGUCUUGACGUUCUCCAGCGGAGCGGCCUGUAGUGGUCAGCCGUUGACCUUCCACUGCUCUGUGCCUCUGUGUCUCCGUCCGAAGGCCGUCCUGCUGCUCAGCCAAAGCAGCGUCACCGACAGCGCCGGACGUCAGAGUGCGCUGCGGAGUCCCAGCUCGGUGGUGUCCAGCUCCAGUGACCCCAGCUUCAGCGUGGUGCCGGUGGACGGGGCGUUCUACUCCUGCCUCUAUCAGAUGACCGUCUCCACAGACCUGACCAUCAACUCCAGCGCUAGUCAAGCCGUCACGGUCACUCUCUCACAUGGACCAAACGCAGAAGAAGAAGCAAAAGAAGGAGAAGAAGGAGAGAGCCCAGACUGGGCCCUGGUGCUGGGAGCCAUGUCUGCAGCUGUGCUGUUUCUAGCCAUAGUCAUAGGCCUGGGGGUCAUUGUACACAAGAGAGGUACCUACUGACAUACCGCCCCCUUCAAGAGGAGCUCUCCUUUUCAUAAGACACUUCACAAUGCAAUGAGGAUCGAAUCUAAAAUCAGGUUUUUGUGAAGUCCAACAGUGACAUGUCAUUGAAUACUGCAAUAGUUGAUGUGCUGUAACUUCUGCCAAUGUGUAUAUUUUUCAGUGAAAGAUGCGGCGAGGGAGAAGAAGACAAGGGAGAAUGCUAAAUUCUGGACUACAGUGCAUGCAAGAGACCACAUUGUAGAUCUCCCCAUUUCACGGC